rnacentral:rRNA from 1 species
AGGACGAACGCUGGCGGCGUGCUUAACACAUGCAAGUCGAGCGGAAAGGCCCUUCGGGGUACUCGAGCGGCGAACGGGUGAGUAACACGUGAGUAAUCUGCCCCUAGCUUUGGGAUAGCUCCGGGAAACCGGGAUUAAUACCGAAUACGACCACUUUAGACAUCUUUUGUGGUGGAAAGAAUUUCGGCUAGGGAUGAGCUCGCGGCCUAUCAGCUUGUUGGUGGGGUAACGGCCUACCAAGGCGACGACGGGUAGCCGGCCUGAGAGGGCGACCGGCCGACACUGGGACUGAGACACGGCCCAGACUCCUACGGGAGGCAGCAGUGGGGAAUAUUGCGCAAUGGGCGAAAGCCUGACGCAGCGACGCCGCGUGGGGGAUGAAGGCCUUCGGGUUGUAAACCCCUUUCAGCAGGGACGAAGCGAAAGUGACGGUACCUGCAGAAGAAGACGCCGGCUAACUACGUGCCAGCAGCCGC